CUCUCGACUCUCGUUUCUCUCCGUCUCUCGUUUCUCUCCGUCGUCGGCGAUUCUCCUCUCAAGUCGACGGCUCUCGGCGACGCUCGUUUCUCUCCGUCGUCAGUUGGUUCUCUCGAAUCUCCUCUUCGUCGUCAGUUGGUUCUCUCGUUUUUCCUCUCCGUCGUCGUGAUGGUGGUGGUGGCUCCUCUUCUUCGUCUAGUGUCCCUUGGUAGUGGCUAAUCAGAGUUUGGAGGUGGUGUGGUGAUAAAAGAGCCUUGCAUAAGGUGUUUGAGGUUUUUCUGGUUGGAGAAGAAGACGGCAGUAUUGACAAUGGUGUAAAACUUUCUAAAACCCUAAUCUCUAUUUGUGGCAGAUUUGUUUGUCGUUUGAUGGCAGAUUUGUUUAUUAGUAUUCGCAGAUUUAUUUGUUGUUCAUCGUAGAUUUGUUCGUUAGUAUUCGCAGAUUUAAUUGUUGCUAAAAUUUUUUUUUGCUUAUUGUAGAUUUGUUUGCUAGUGUUUGCAGAUUUUUUUGUUGCUCGUCGUAGAUUUAUUUUUUACUCUUCGCAGAUUUGUUUCGUUAAUGAACUUGCAGGUUUAGAUUUGAUAAAUUACAGGUUUCUUGUCCGAAGUUGAAGGUCUUGUUACUGAGUUAGCUUAAGUUUGUAAACAGUUUGCAUGUUUUUAUUAGAGAAUUAGCUUAGGUUUAGGUUUUAGAGUUAGCUCAUCGCAGAUUUAUUUGCUUUUUGAUGACAAAUUUAUUUGUUAGUGUUUUCUGAUUUAUUUGUUGCUUCACAAAUUUGUUUACAAGUGUUUUCAGAUCUAUUUGUUGUUCCUCACAGAUAUAUUUGAUUGAGAUUGGAGGACUGAAAGUGGUAGUCAAAUUAUAUGAGAAAGAGAUACAAGAGCUAAGAAACAUGGUUGUGUGUGUUUUAUUUCAUCAUUACAUAAGAGAUGUGAAAUUAUGUUUGAGAAAUUGCAGGUUUCUUGUUACAUCAGAGUUAAUGUGAAAUUAUGUUUGAUGGCUCCCAUAUUUAUUUGUUGUUCAUCACAGAUUUGUUUGUUGGUUGUAUAACAUGUAUUGUUUUGAUUGCAGAUUUUUUUGGGCAUCAAAGCACAAGAUUGAUAUUGGAGAGCUCAAAGUCGUUAAAUUAUAUGAGAAAGAGAUACAAGAGUUAAGAAACUUCAAAAACAUGGUUGUUUGUACUUUUAUUCAUGGUCGUGGUGUAUUAUACAUCAUUACAUAAGAAUUUUUGUGAGUUUAUGUUGUGAUUAGUUUUGUAAUGGCCUACAAGUGGAAUAUGAACAAUUAAGUAAUUUAAGCA